GAAUCCGACCAGCCCUGUUAUUUUCAAAGAGCUUCCGAAAGUCCUGAACACCAAUCACUUUAACUGGCACCAGAGAUAGGGAAACGAGCACUUAUUUUCCCCGAGUCAUAUCAUUACCUUCCGAGAAUCCAACUGUCUGAAAAAUAGCAUUCUAGGGAAGGAAAACAGAUAUUUAAACUUCUGAGAGGUCAAAAUUCUUGGGGAAGGAGAAGAGACAAAGGACAGAGAAGAAACAGGAGAUUUCAACCAGGAGGAGGGGCGGUGGUGAGCUGCUGGACAAUCACCUUGCCGAGAGGUUUUCAGAGCUGGUGGAUUUGCAAGCACGUAAAGGUGACAAGAGGUGACGCUGCCCGAGGAGAACUGGAGCAUAGAGCCUAGUUUUUGACCUAAGCCGCACACAGAAGUUCCCAGGAGAUUGUGAAGUACCUAUUCUUGGGCCCCACCCAAGAACAAUCAACACAGAAUCUCUAGGUGCCCUAGCCCUGUAGCAAUCCUCUUCCUUACCUGCAAGUGAGCCCCCUGAAGGAUUCUUCAGAGACCAAGACACUGAUCAACACCAAGUUAUUAACACUCAGCCUGCAGAGAGGUGGGCUAGAGAUCAAGGAUGCAGAGAUCAAGGGUGCAGGUGCCAAUGACUGACUUCCAGGCAUCAAAGACAGGCCUUACUCCAAAUUCUACAAGCUCGUACCCACACACGUAGACUAUGAGUGGUAGGUUCUAGAGAGAAGAUAUUGCACUUAGUUCAUAGUUGUAACCCCAGUGCCUUAUGACGUGCCUGGCUCAUGAUAGGUGAUGAAGAGUUUAGUUGUGUAUGGAAUGAAUCAAUGUCCACAGAAUCUUUCCAUUUUAAUGGCCAUUGCCUCAUGCAUUUCUCAGCCUCCAGACAGGACUGGAUCUCAAGCACCACACCUGGAGCCCGUUGAGACUCGAACUGACGAGAUGAACUCUCCCAGCACUGUCUCCUUCAGUGAGGAAGUCCUUCUAUAAACAAAUUGUCCUCUGACCUAAACUGUGUGUUUAGUGACCAUUGAUUUACAUUCUGGCACAAGCUCCUCUUUGGAAUCAAUAACAAAUCGUUAGUAGAUGGGCAGCUGGUCUACCAACCGCACCGCUGCUUUGCAGCUUCCCAAGGGCUUUCACACAAACUCGGGGGUUUUUUGGCCCUCAGAAAAAUCCUAAGAAGUCAGCAGGGCAAGUAUCUUAAUGUUCAUUUUACUGGACGGAAAUGGAGACUCAGAGGAGUUGGGAUUCACACCGCACAGCAAGUAAGCAGCAAGGCCGGGAUUCGAAGCCGGGAGUCCUCUCUCGCCCUCUAGGUUGUGUGGGAAAGUACCACUACUCAUGAGAUGGCCCAUGGCCAGCAGGUCCCUAGGAAGAGAUGCCAGAGAGGCCGGUAUAGGUGGGUCAUGUGUGUGACUUCACAUGGCAUCUCUUCUGUUCCUCUGUCUUGUAUUACUGUCGUGUUAUAACAGAGGCGAGAUAACUCUCCCUUUCCAUCCACCCACCCUGGAGCCACCCCCCACCUGCCACCCCAGGAAGUUUCCUCCAGCUCAGCCCUCUGUGUGACAUUUCACUACCUGAGAGGGCUUGGCAUUAGCCCCACCAGGUAAGAUUAUCUCAUGUAAGAUACAGCAGGCAUCUACUCAAAAUAGGCUUAGCUUUCCACAAAUGCCACUCUGGGGCAUGUUGUUCUUACCCAGGCCAGGUGGGCCACGGUGCCACGGUGAGCUGUCCUGUCCUCCCUGGGUUAGCCUUUCUUUUGUCUUUUUUUCCAGAUGAAGAAGCCAAGAGCAAGUAGAGACAGAGAUGGGAAAAGUCACAUGGCCAGGAAGAAGAGCACCUCUAAGCCUCAGGAACCAUAAGUUGGCAGCUACAGACUGAGUGGCCAUUCCUCCAAGCAACAAAUGCGUGGGGGAAAAUACAGGGGCCCAGGUCUGUGUUCCAAUAGCCAUCUGACUGUGGGAACAUUCUGUGAAAUUGGAGCAAGUGUCAAAGGGUCAAUGGCUCUAACACCUGGCCUUCUGGAACACAGCCAUGUGUCCUGUCUGAGAGAGGUUUCCUGGUUGAAAGGGGCCUCAGGCAGGGCUCCUCUCUUUUGCAGACCCUCAGGUGGGAAGCAGUCUGGGUCUCUAGCUUCUAGUUAUUGAGCCUGAGAUGCCUGGGGUGGGAGGGGGGCGGGUAAAGGAGGAAACAAUUGGAGAGAUUCUCGAUAUAUGUAUCUUUCCUUCACUUUGGCUUGAGUCCCACAUUCUGCAAUAGUACUGUAAUGGAGAAGGGAACAGAGCACCGGAUGGCACUCAGGAGACUAGCCUUUUUUUUUUUCUUUUUCUCAAAUUUUAAUUUUAAUUCUAGUUAGUUAACAUACAGGGCAAUAUUGGUUUCAGAAAUAGAAUUCAGUGGUUCAUACAAUACCCAGUG